UGUCUACUCUUCUGCAUAUUCGCUUUGGAUAAAAGCGUCUGCUAAAUGACUAAAU
rfam:Danio rerio chromosome 25, GRCz11 reference primary assembly.